AGCGCGCGCAGGCGGUUGACUUAGUCGGGUGGUUAAGCUCGGGGCUCAACCCCGAGUCACACCGGAGACGGGUCAACUUGAGUGCAGAAGAGGAGAGUGGAAUUCCACGUGUAGCGGUGAAAUGCGUAGAGAUGUGGAGGAACACCAGUGGCGAAGGCGACUCUCUGGCCUGUAACUGACGCUGAGGCGCGAAAGCGUGGGGAGCAAACAGG
rnacentral:rRNA from 1 species